rnacentral:rRNA from 1 species
UGGGGAAUAUUGCACAAUGGGCGCAAGCCUGAUGCAGCCAUGCCGCGUGUAUGAAGAAGGCCUUCGGGUUGUAAAGUACUUUCAGCAGUGAGGAAGUGGGUAUGUUAAUAGCAUAUUCAUUUGACGUUAGCUGCAGAAGAAGCACCGGCUAACUCCGUGCCAGCAGCCGCGGUAAUACGGAGGGUGCGAGCGUUAAUCGGAAUUACUGGGCGUAAAGCGCAUGCAGGUGGUUUGUUAAGUCAGAUGUGAAAGCCCGGGGCUCAACCUCGGAAUUGCAUUUGAAACUGGCAAACUAGAGUACUGUAGAGGGGGUAGAAUUUCAGGUGUAGCGGUGAAAUGCGUAGAGAUCUGAAGGAAUACCGGUGGCGAAGGCGGCCCCCCUGGACAGAUACUGACACUCAGAUGCGAAAGCGUGGGGAGCAAACAGGAUUAGAUACCCUGGUAG